rnacentral:rRNA from 1 species
GACGAACGCUGGCGGCGUGCUUAACACAUGCAAGUCGAGCGGUAAGGCCCUUCGGGGUACACGAGCGGCGAACGGGUGAGUAACACGUGAGUAAUCUGCCCAUCACUUCGGGAUAACUCCGGGAAACCGGUUCUAAUACCGAAUAUGACCACUUCAGGCAUCUGAUGGUGGUGGAAAGUUCCGGCGGUGAUGGAUGAGCUCGCGGCCUAUCAGCUUGUUGGUGGGGUAGUGGCCUACCAAGGCUUCGACGGGUAGCCGGCCUGAGAGGGUGACCGGCCACACUGGGACUGAGACACGGCCCAGACUCCUACGGGAGGCAGCAGUGGGGAAUAUUGGACAAUGGGCGAAAGCCUGAUCCAGCAACGCCGCGUGAGGGAUGACGGCCUUCGGGUUGUAAACCUCUUUCAGCAGGGACGAAGCGCAAGUGACGGUACCUGCAGAAGAGGCACCGGCCAACUACGUG